AGUGCAACAUGCUGUUAUAUCCAUACGUUUCAAAUUGCCAAGCUCAUUGCUUCUGCUGCCUAGUGAUAUUUUGCUAUUCACCUCUAGAGUCUGAACAAUGAAAUGUGAUGUUGUUUGCACUCCGGGCUACUUCAAAUACACAAAAUGCAUGCUUGGUCGGUUGGGAUUGGGAUUUUGUGUACUUUAUGAAGAGUUUGAAGGGAAAUCUGCUCAGACGUUGGAUGGCCUCCCUCUAGUGGCUGCUACUGUGGAACUAAAACAGGGCUGUGAGCUACCUACCCAAGGUUGUGCUUGCAUCAACCACUGUAUGCCAUGAAAG